AUUGAACGCUGGCGGCAUGCCUUACACAUGCAAGUCGAACGGCAGCGGACCUUCGGGUGCCGGCGAGUGGCGAACGGGUGAGUAAUAUAUCGGAACGUACCUUUCAGGUGGGGGAUAACGUAGCGAAAGUUACGCUAAUACCGCAUAUUCUGUGAGCAGGAAAGCAGGGGAUCGCAAGACCUUGCGCUGAUUGAGCGGCCGAUAUCAGAUUAGCUAGUUGGUGAGGUAAAGGCUCACCAAGGCGACGAUCUGUAGCGGGUCUGAGAGGAUGAUCCGCCACACUGGAACUGAGACACGGUCCAGACUCCUACGGGAGGCAGCAGUGGGGAAUUUUGGACAAGUGGGCGCAAGCCUGAUCCAGCCAUGCCGCGUGAGUGAAGAAGGCCUCGGUUGUAAG
rnacentral:rRNA from 1 species